rnacentral:tRNA from 1 species
UAGGCCGUUGGUGUAGAGGAAACAUAACAAGCUCCAACCUUGUAGUCGUGGGUUCGAUUCCUACACGGUCUGU